rnacentral:ncRNA from 1 species
UAUCUUCGGGGGAGGGUGAGAUUCCCGACCGGUGGUAAGAGCUUGUUUUUCUUGCUCAAAGCCCACGAGCCAAACGAUAUUUUGGCAGAUGCGGUGAGUUUUUGCUGACAAUUCCGCAGCCGACGGUAAAGUCCGGAUGAGAGAAGAUU